GAAAGAAGGAGGUCAGAAUCAGGAGACAGACCUACAGAGGAAUGAUCAGAGAGCCGCAACACCGAUGAUGGAGACCUGAAUAUUUGCCUUACUGACAAUGAAAAAGUCUGGCUUCACACCAAACCCUGGAGAAUAGAGAUCUUACGUUCUGAGAUGGAAGAAAUCAGAGUGAGUAGAAGCAGCGAAGAUACUUCCCUUUUGGCCUUGAAGAAGUAAACUGCCAUGUUUGGAGAGGACCACCUGACAGGCAACAACAGGAGCUGAGGGUCUCAGUCCUAUAAUCACAAGAAACUGAGUUCUCCCCAACACCUACUGUGCUCAAAAAAAGACCUUGGUCGUCAGGUCACAACCUGAACCUAUACCUCGGUAACUGAU